rnacentral:rRNA from 1 species
CAUCCUCCAAGGCUAAAUACUCCUGACUGACCGAUAGUGAACCAGUACCGUGAGGGAAAGGCGAAAAGAACCCCGGCGAGGGGAGUGAAAAAGAACCUGAAACCGUGUACGUACAAGCAGUGGGAGCACGCUUCGGCGUGUGACUGCGUACCUUUUGUAUAAUGGGUCAGCGACUUAUAUUCUGUAGCAAGGUUAACCGAAUAGGGGAGCCGAAGGGAAACCGAGUCUUAACUGGGCGUUAAGUUGCAGGGUAUAGACCCGAAACC